GACGAACGCUGGCGGCGUGCUUAACACAUGCAAGUCGAACGGAAAGGCCUCAGCUUGCUGGGGUACUCGAGUGGCGAACGGGUGAGUAACACGUGGGUGAUCUGCCUUGCACUCUGGGAUAAGCUUGGGAAACUGGGUCUAAUACCGGAUAUGAACUGCCUUUAGUGUGGUGGUUGGAAAGUUUUUUCGGUGCAAGAUGAGCUCGCGGCCUAUCAGCUUGUUGGUGGGGUAAUGGCCUACCAAGGCGUCGACGGGUAGCCGGCCUGAGAGGGUGUACGGCCACAUUGGGACUGAGAUACGGCCCAGACUCCUACGGGAGGAAGCAGGGGGGAAUAUUGCACAAUGGGCGGAAGCCUGAUGCAGCGACGCCGCGUGGGGGAUGACGGCCUUCGGGUUGUAGACUCCUUGCGACAGGGACGAAGCUUUUUGUGACGGUACCUGUAGAAGAAGCACCGGCUAACUACGUG
rnacentral:rRNA from 1 species